UCCAUGGCAUAGCUUAUGGUCUCAUUUGAGCUACACCAGUCUCUCUGCCUUGACAAAGCAGUGAUCCAGGACAGGAUUACCUGUGUGACCUUGACCGCUUGGGGCCUCAGCUUCUUCAUCUUUAAGAUGAGAUAUCCUGUGGAGAUAUCCAGCAACUUACACAUAAAAGCUUGGGAGCUUUCUGUACAGAAAAUCAAAUUCAUGGGAGCAAAAGAGCUCAUCAUUCUGUUUAGUCUUCCCACUCCAUAACAUUUAAUGUGCCUGGUAGAGUUUGACUCAAUGUCUGAUAAGCUUCAUGUUAUAUGUAAGUGGAUCACCUUUUGUCAAAACUCUCCACUAUGACCUGUCCAUCUUAGAUCUGUUUUGACUCUACAUGAAAUUGUGGACUACUGCCAAGGUUCUGCAACUUCUAGCUACAAGGCUCACAGGAAUACAGGAGAAGAGGAAAGGAUUCAGUAGAUGUCAUCAUUUAUUAAGUGAAGCAAGAUCAAUCACCACUGUACAAGCCCUCAAGUAGAGCUGUGGCCAGGUUGGAAGACUAUGGCUACGGAAUAUUGUGUAUACUAUCAUUCUUGAUUGAUGUCUUUUUCUGAACUCCUUUGGGGAAAAAAAAAAGACAGACCUUUGUUUUGGGGAGAAGUUUGGGGUCAUUAAAAGAGCUCUGUAGUUUCCUAAAGGCAA